rnacentral:rRNA from 1 species
GACGAACGCUGGCGGCGUGCCUAACACAUGCAAGUCGAGCGAAGUGAGUACUACGGUACGAACUUAGCGGCGGACGGGUGAGUAACGCGUGGACAAUCUACCCUGUAGACUGGGAUAACACCUCGAAAGGGGUGCUAAUACCGGAUAAUGUCGAGAAGCGGCAUCGCUUUUCGAAGAAAGGAGAGAAUCCGCUAUAGGAGGAGUCCGCGUCCCAUUAGCUAGUUGGUGAGGGUAACGGCCCACCAAGGCGACGAUGGGUAGCCGGCCUGAGAGUGUGAACGGCCACACUGGAACUGAGACACGGUCCAGACUCCUACGAGGGGCAUCAGUGGGGAAUAUUGUGCAAUGGGGGAAACCCUGACACAGCAACGCCGCGUGAGCGAAGAAGGCCUUCGGGUUGUAAAGCUCAAUAGUAUGGGAAGAUAAUGACGGUACCAUACGAAAGCCCCGGCUAACUACGUGCCAGCCGCCGCCGUAACAC